GCCCGAGUGGUGAAAUAGGUAGACGCACUGGACUCAAAAUCCAGCGGUAGCGAUACCGUGCCGGUUCGAUUCCGGCCUCGGGCACCA
rnacentral:tRNA from 1 species